rnacentral:rRNA from 1 species
AUUGAACGCUGGCGGCAUGCUUUACACAUGCCAGUCGAACGGUAACAGGCCGCAAGGUGCUGACGAGUGGCGAACGGGUGAGUAAUGCAUCGUAACGUGCCCAGUCGUGGGGGAUAACUACUCGAAAGAGUAGCUAAUACCGCAUACGAUCUAUGGAUGAAAGCGGGGGACCGUAAGGCCUCGCGCGAUUGGAGCGGCCGAUGUCAGAUUAGGUAGUUGGUGGGGUAAAGGCUCACCAAGCCAUCGAUCUGUAGCUGGUCUGAGAGGACGACCAGCCACACUGGGACUGAGACACGGCCCAGACUCCGACGGGAGGCAGCAGUGGGGAAUGUUGGACAAUGGGCGCAAGCCUGAUCCAGCAAUGCCGCGUGCAGGAAGAAGGCCUUCGGGUUGUAAACUGCUUUUGUACGGAACGAAACGGCUCUGGUUAAUACCCGGGGCUAAUGACGGUACCGUAAGAAUAAGCACCGGCUAACUACGUG